AAGGAAGAAUUUUUUUAAUUUGACGUUUACAGAGAUAAUGUUCCUUAAUUUUUGCUGUUUUCCAGUAUGCUCUACAUCUUGUCUUGGGAGCACCCUUUGAUUUUACAUCUUGCGACUUUCCAAACAUACAGAGAUGGUGGGCUCUUAUUCUUCUGGAGAACUUUGGGGUUUUCUCUGAAAGUGCAGAAACCCUACAAGAGUCCCUUCCAUGUGAAGAACAAGCUACGCUUAGCAGCAGUGAGGUGGAGCUCCCAAUAAUCCGGCACAUGAAAGAAGCUGUGAAAUGGCUCCAUUCCAACAGCCAUCUGCUCAGGGGUCUAGUAGAAGAGCCUCUUUUCAUUUGAAUGAAAAU